rnacentral:rRNA from 1 species
CACCAGCUUGCUGGUGUGGAUGAGUGGCGAACGGGUGAGUAAUACGUGAGUAACCUGCCCUUGACUCUGGGAUAAGCCCGGGAAACUGGGUCUAAUACUGGAUGCUACAUGUCACCGCAUGGUGGUGCGUGGAAAGGGUUUACUGGUCUUGGAUGGGCUCACGGCCUAUCAGCUUGUUGGCGAGGUAAUGGCUCACCAAGGCGACGACGGGUAGCCGGCCUGAGAGGGUGACCGGCCACACUGGGACUGAGACACGGCCCAGACUCCUACGGGAGGCAGCAGUGGGGAAUAUUGCACAAUGGGCGAAAGCCUGAUGCAGCGACGCCGCGUGAGGGAUGACGGCCUUCGGGUUGUAAACCUCUUUCAGCGGGGAAGAAGCCACAAGUGACGGUACCUGCAGAAGAAGCGCCGGCUAACUACGUGCCAGCAGCCGCGGUAAUACGUAGGGCGCAAGCGUUGUCCGGAAUUAUUGGGCGUAAAGAGCUCGUAGGCGGUUUGUCGCGUCUGCUGUGAAAGCCCGGGGCUUAACCCCGGGUGUGCAGUGGGUACGGGCAGACUAGAGUGCAGUAGGGGAGACUGGAAUUCCUGGUGUAGCGGUGGAAUGCGCAGAUAUCAGG